rnacentral:rRNA from 1 species
GACGAACGCUGGCGGCGUGCCUAAUACAUGCAAGUCGAACGCAGUGGGGACGGGUGAGUAACCCGUGGGUAACCUCCCAUCAGAGGGGAUAACACUUGGAAACAGGUGCUAAACCGAUACUGAUGGAUGGACCCGCGGUGCAUUAUCUAGUUGGUGAGGUAACGGCUCACCAAGGCCACGAGGCAUAGCCGACCGUGGCAGGGGAUCGGCCACACUGGGACUGUGAAACGGCCCAGACUCCGACGGGAGGCAGCAUUAGGGAAUCUUCGGCAAUGGACGAAAGUCUGACCGAGCAACGCCGCGUGAGUGAAGAAGGUUUUCGGAUCGUAAAACUCUGUUGUUAGAGAAGCGGUAUCUAACCAGAAAGCCACGGCUAACUACGUGCCAGCCGCCGCGGUAAUAC